rnacentral:rRNA from 1 species
CCUACGGGAGGCAGCAGUGGGGAAUAUUGCACAAUGGGCGAAAGCCUGAUGCAGCAACGCCGCGUGAGCGAUGAAGGCCUUCGGGUUGUAAAGCUCUGUCCUCAAGGAAGAUAAUGACGGUACUUGAGGAGGAAGCCCCGGCUAACUACGUGCCAGCAGCCGCGGUAAUACGUAGGGGGCUAGCGUUAUCCGGAAUUACUGGGCGUAAAGGGUGCGUAGGUGGUUUCUUAAGUCAGAGGUGAAAGGCUAGGGCUAAACCGUGGUAAGCCUUUGAAACUGGGGGACUUGAGUGCAGGAGAGGAGAGUGGAAUUCCUGGUGUAGCGGUGAAAUGCGUAGAUAUUAGGAGGAACACCAGUGGCGAAGGCGGCUCUCUGGACUGUAACUGACGCUGAGGCACGAAAGCGUGGGGAGCAAACAGGAUUAGAUACCCCAGUAGUC